UUUAGGUUAUGUGAGGUUAUGUUAACAUAAUAAAAUUAUUAUUUUCACCUGCACAACUUUCGACGAUCUAAAAAAGGAGUAUCGAAGAUAGGUUAAUGUUCACUAUUAUAGAUAAAGCUGAGGAAAAUAACGACGAAGUCGUUAAGAUAAACGAUUCCUGAUUAAACAUGAUAAGGAAGCAAUCGGAGAAUUUUUAUUUAGUACUUAGCAGACAAUGCAGUUAAAAAGAUAUAAUUAUAACAUUUAAUAAAUAUUUAUGGAUUAUACUGUAGGAUAAAAUUUGCAAAAUCUCUAAGAAAACAUAAUAAGGUUUUUAAGAUGAAGAAAUUAGAGUAAUCUUCAUUUCUAAGCGAAAUAUGUACGAUUAAUUCUUUUAGAAGUCUUUUGAAAGUAUAGCACAAUGUUUUUUCGGCGCUUUGUUGCUAAAAUAAAGAAAUGAGUCAACUUAACCCAACUCCCAAACAACUCAGCUUGAACUAAUCGUUAUUAAAGUAGAUAUGUGGCCAGAUUGGGACAUAACUACAAAGAAAUUUAAUCCCAAACAUGUUAAUAAAUCCCUAAAGCGACUCGAGUACAGAAUAACAACCACCAAGUAAAGCAAAUCUAUAUAACUAAUACUAAGAUUACAAAGUAAGCUGAAUGAACCUCAAUGAUUCUCAAGUUAAAAGUAACUCGCAAAGUAAUCCAACUUUAAAGCAAGGCUCAAAACAGGUCAAUACAACCACAAAAUAGCUUAACCCCAAAGCAAGUAAGUCAAUGAUUUAAUAUCAAAACAAAAGGAUGUAAAGUUUAGGAGUCUGAUGAGCUAUAUCCGAUAAAGCUAAAGUGGGUAAAGAGAGAUUGGAAGACAAUUUUUGAUUUUCAAUUUAUGUUUUCAACAAUUAAAGCAGUUUCAUCAUUGAUUAUACUACUCCAGAUUGCUAACUAUAUGUAUAAAAUCGGCAACUGUAUAUGUUGGGUUGCAUCACGCACUGUUUAUUCUGAAGAUAAGUGAGAUAGAGUCAUAAUAAGAAAAGAGAUGAUCUGAAAAAGUUUUCUUCAUCUCUCUCAUUAUCCGAGGAAUAAAAUGCUUUCACUUUGCUCAAGGGUUUAAUGUUUAAGGGUCGAUAGCUAACAAUUAAUACAUAAAGUUCAUUGGUGUUACUUAGAUACAAUUGUUACUAUUUAAAAUUCUCCUUAGAAAGAAUCUUAAAAACGCACCAAAAUGAAGUAGGACUAAUAAACAUUUUACUGAAGGAAAUAAUAACAAUCUUUAAAUGUGGAAAUGUCUUUUAGUGUAUCUUGUUUAGUGAUUUGAUGGCGUGAAUUGGCGCACGCAUCUAUUAAAGAAAAAAAAAUUAAAUAAAAUAAAAGUUAUGUAAAGCAAACGCUAGGGCCUGCGUGCCUAACCGUGGGAUCAACUAUUGAAACAAAUUAUGAAAGAAAUAAAUAAAUAUAAUCUAUUUAAAUAAAUUAAAGAAAAAAUACAAUAUUUAAGGCAUAUAUUCGAACAUAGACGCUACAAUACUAAUUAUUAUAAAUUAUCUUAUCGCAUAUAACUGUAAUAACGACUACUUACAUAAACUAAUUUAGGUACUAAAAUAAAAAUAAAAAAUUCUUAUUAGCGGUAAUGGUGAGGAAAACGAGAAUAAAUAAAGAAAACUUAGCGUAAAUCUAGCUUAAACUAUGGGCACAAACGAGAGAAGAAUCAUGUUUAAAGAA